rnacentral:rRNA from 1 species
UUCCCUUCGGGGACCUAGUGAUAGGUGCUGCAUGGCUGUCGUCAGCUCGUGUCGUGAGAUGUUGGGUUAAGUCCCGCAACGAGCGCAACCCUCGUCCUUAGUUGCCAUCAUUAAGUUGGGCACUUUGAGGAAACUGCCGGUGAUAAGCCGGAGGAAGGUGGGGAUGACGUCAAGUCCUCAUGGCCCUUACAGGCUGGGCUACACACGUGCUACAAUGGCAUCUACAGUGGGCAGCUAUUCCGCAAGGAUGCGCUAAUCUCCAAAAGAUGUCUCAGUUCGGAUUGUCCUCUGCAACUCGAGGGCAUGAAGGCGGAAUCGCUAGUAAUCGCGGAUCAGCAUGCCGCGGUGAAUACGUUCCCAGGCCUU